GAUGAAGAACGCAGCGAAAUGCGAUAAGUAGUGUGAAUUGCAGAAUUCAGUGAAUCAUCGAAUCUUUGAACGCACAUUGCGCCCUUUGGUAUUCCUUAGGGCAUGCCUGUUCGAGCGUCAUUUAAACCUUCAAGCUAAGCUUGGUGUUGGGUGACUGUCCGCUUCACUGCGGACUCGCCUCAAAAUUAUUGGCGGCCGGUACAUUGGCGUCGAGCGCAGCAGAAACGCGAACUCGGGCCCGUCGUAUUGGCUCCCAGAAGCUAUCUUCACAAUUUUGACCUCGGAUCAGGUAGGGAUACCCGCUGAACUUAAGCAUAUCAAUAAGCGGAGGA
rnacentral:misc_RNA from 1 species